rnacentral:snoRNA from 1 species
UCCCUCCAUAUUCCUUACCCCAGACCUAAAUAUUGGUCUGAGUGGCUCAAAAGGAAGAAAAGUAAAACAGAAGUUGACUUGGAAUUAAAAAGACAGACAACUUCAGUGUGUG